UAAGGUGAUUAUAGCGACGGGGCUCACCUCUUACCAUUCCGAACAGAGAAGUUAAGCCCGUUAGCGCCGAUGGUACUGCCAUUUGUGGGAGAGUAGGUCGUUGCCUUUU
rnacentral:rRNA from 1 species